AAGUCGUAACAAGGUUUCCGUAGGUGAACCUGCGGAAGGAUCAUUACCCUUUAUUCAAGGGCGAAACUGGGUUUCCUCUGGCUUCUGCCCUUGAUGAUUCUACCCAUGUCUUUUGCGCACUUUUGGUUUCCUUGGUGGGCUUGCCUGCCAGUAGGACAUACCUAAAACCUUUUGUAAUUGCAGUCUGCGUCAGUAACAAUACAAUUAUUAAAACUUUCAACAACGGAUCUCUUGGUUCUG
rnacentral:misc_RNA from 1 species